AACGAACGCUGGCGGCAUGCCUAACACAUGCAAGUCGAACGAAGGCUUCGGCCUUAGUGGCGAACGGGUGAGUAACGCGUGGGAACCUGCCCCGAAGUGGGGAACAACAGCUGGAAACGGCUGCUAAUACCGCAUACGCCCUUAGGGGGAAAGCUUUAUGCGCUUUGGGAGGGUCCCGCGUCCGAUUAGCUAGUUGGAGGGGUAAUGGCCCACCAAGGCGACGAUCGGUAGCUGGUCUGAGAGGAUGAUCAGCCACACUGGGACUGAGACACGGCCCAGACUCCUACGGGAGGCAGCAGUGGGGAAUAUUGGACAAUGGGGGCAACCCUGAUCCAGCAAUGCCGCGUGCGUGAAGAAGGCCUUAGGGUUGUAAAGCGCUUUCACCCGUGACGAUGAUGACGGUAGCGGGAGAAGAAGCCCCGGCUAACUCCG
rnacentral:rRNA from 1 species